rnacentral:rRNA from 1 species
UACGUAGGGUGCGAGCGUUAAUCGGAAUUACUGGGCGUAAAGCGUGCGCAGGCGGUUUUGUAAGCCAGAUGUGAAAGCCCCGGGCUCAACCUGGGACCUGCAUUUGUGACUGCAUCGCUGGAGUGCGGCAGAGGGGGAUGGAAUUCCGCGUGUAGCAGUGAAAUGCGUAGAUAUGCGGAGGAACACCGAUGGCGAAGGCAAUCCCCUGGGCCUGCACUGACGCUCAUGCACGAAAGCGUGGGGAGCAAACAGG